rnacentral:rRNA from 1 species
AUUGUUAGUUGCCAUCAUUCAGUUUGGGCACUCUAGCGAGACUGCCGGUAAUAACCGGAGAAGUGGGAUGACGUCAAAUCAUCAUGCCCCUUAUGACCUGGGCUACACACGUGCUACAAUGGUUGGUACAACGAGUUGCGAGUCGGUGACGGCGAGCUAAUCUCUUAAAGCCAAUCUCAGUUCGGAUUGUAGGCUGCAACUCGCCUACAUGAAGUCGGAAUCGCUAGUAAUCGCGGAUCAGCACGCCGCGGUGAAUACGUUCCCGGGCCUU